rnacentral:rRNA from 1 species
AGGGCACCACCAGGAGUGGAGCCUGCGGCUUAAUUUGACUCAACACGGGAAAACUCACCCGGCCCGGACACUGGAAGGAUUGACAGAUUGAGAGCUCUUUCUUGAUUCAGUGGGUGGUGGUGCAUGGCCGUUCUUAGUUGGUGGAGUGAUUUGUCUGGUUAAUUCCGAUAACGAACGAGACUCUAGCCUACUAAAUAGAUCGUCGGCUUACAAACGCCGGCGAGACUUCUUAGAGGGACAGGCGGUGAUUCAACCGCACGAAACAGAGCAAUAACAGGUCUGUGAUGCCCUUAGAUGUCCGGGGCCGCACGCGCGCUACACUGAAGUGAUCAGCGUGCUUUUUCAACCUACUCUGUCAAGAGUGGGGAACCCAAUGAACCUUCUUCGUGAUUGGGAUAGGGGAUUGUAAUUAUUCCCCUUGAACGAGGAAUUCCCAGUAAGCGCGAGUCAUAAGCUCGCGUUGAUUACGUCCCUGCCCUUUGUACGCACCGCCCGUCGCUACUACCGAUUGAAUGCUUU